rnacentral:miRNA from 10 species
UAGGUUGGCGCAAAAGUUAUCGAGGUUUUUGCAAUUACUUUCAGUGGCGAAAACUGUAAUUACUUUUGCACCAACCUAAUGG